rnacentral:tRNA from 1 species
GCGGGUGUAGCACAGUGGUAGUGCUCGAGUUUUCCAAACUCGCUACACGGGUUCGAUCCCCGUCACCCGCU